AAGAAAACACAGAUUUGAUCCUGCAACAGGUUCCUUGUCAAAGACAUUUUCCGUAUCAGUGGAUACUCCAAGAACAGGUAUCCCAAAACCAGAGAAGUAUUCCCGACCAUGUAGUCCUGGCAUUUAAGCUCCCAUUUAAAAGCAGCUUUGUUGAUAAACACUUUG